rnacentral:lncRNA from 1 species
GGAGGGAGAGAUGACACUGAGCAAGUCCGCUUCUAAAGAACCCUGUGUGACAUGGAGAGGAAUUUAUAUUGUCUCCUGGAAGCUACAAAAGACCUGCUGAGGAGGUUAAGCAGGAAUGUGGCAUGAGCAGGUUUCUGUUUUAGAAAGUUUGCUCUGGCUGCAGAGAGGAUGAAGUGAGACUGGGAACAAGGAAGCUGUGUAGGGGAGGGACUCCAACAGCCAGGAAGAGGAGCCAAGGCACCAUUCACCUGUGCCCAGAUGGCGAGUGUUCACUGAACAUGAGUCAGCCUCCUGCCUUGCUCCACAAGGACUGUCCGGCCUGGAAAAAGAAAAAGUAAUUGAUGAGAGACCCAUAGAAUAGUUGUCUUGGCACUGGCUGGUCCUGCUGGGUCAAAACAAUUGACUAUUGGCAAGCCUCACCAUCCUCCACAGGCAUGAAGGGAGAACUAAAACCUUCUUUGGUGAAGAGAUCUAUCUCUGCCUGCCACUGCUGGACUCACAGAGUACACCACCUGUGAUCACAGAGCACCACCUGGACUCACAGAGGUGCACCACCCAGGCUCACAGAGGUGCACCACCCAGGCUCACAGAGGUGCAUCACCUGGGCUCACAGAGGUGCACCACCCAGGCUCACAGAGCUGUGUACCACACUGAUGCUCAAGGAAAUUCGUCUCCCCAGUGAAGCAGGAAUCCCAUCUUUGCUAAGCAGAGGUCUCUGGAAAGCAUCCAUCAGGGGGCUGCAGGCAGAAUCCCACGGAGACUGUGAUGAUUCCGGCUUCAGGAUGAACAUGUCAACACAGAUUUUAUCUCUUCACCACACUUGCUACAAAUGUGCGUGUUCAGUCACACACUUACCCCAGUUACACUGCAGGAGAACUAUGCAUCUUACCCAGAGCUGUGGCCUCUAGUGCUAAGGAAAUGCUCCUUUUACUUUAUACGUAGUAUGAGUUCGUGGACCCUCGCCUUAAGUUCUAGUAAACUCGGAGGCCAGUAAACUCACGUGCGCUCCUGUCAGCUUUGCCCUCACAUACAUGCUUCUCUGGCGUCUCUCUGCCCGUGAGUCAAUCUGCACUGGUCAUUGUCCUUGCAAGUUCAUAACCGUCCUGUGAUGGUGGUGGUGGUGAUGAUGAUGAUGAUGAUGAUGAGGAGGAGGAGGAGGAGGAGGAGAAAAGGAGAAGGAAAUGGGAACACCAAUGAGCUAGCCUGCCUAUUUGUAUCCACUUACAGAAUGUGAACCUAAUAGAGGAUUGAUAACUCAAGUCUGAUGCCCACUUUGGUCACCAGCUGAAGUGAGGGCACAGGUCACUUUCAGCUGGCAGUGGGCAGUUGUGAAGUAAGCCAUACUCUUCAAGGAGCCCACUGUAGUGAGAGAA